AGCUUGCUCUUGGGUGACGAGUGGCGGACGGGUGAGUAAUGUCUGGGGAUCUGCCCGAUAGAGGGGGAUAACCACUGGAAACGGUGGCUAAUACCGCAUAACGUCGCAAGACCAAAGAGGGGGACCUUCGGGCCUCUCACUAUCGGAUGAACCCAGAUGGGAUUAGCUAGUAGGCGGGGUAAUGGCCCACCUAGGCGACGAUCCCUAGCUGGUCUGAGAGGAUGACCAGCCACACUGGAACUGAGACACGGUCCAGACUCCUACGGGAGGCAGCAGUGGGGAAUAUUGCACAAUGGGCGCAAGCCUGAUGCAGCCAUGCCGCGUGUAUGAAGAAGGCCUUCGGGUUGUAAAGUACUUUCAGCGGGGAGGAAGGCGAUGUGGUUAAUAACCGCGUCGAUUGACGUUACCCGCAGAAGAAGCACCGGCUAACUCCGUGCCAGCAGCCGCGGUAAUACGGAGGGUGCAAGCGUUAAUCGGAAUUACUGGGCGUAAAGCGCACGCAGGCGGUCUGUUAAGUCAGAUGUGAAAUCCCCGGGCUUAACCUGGGAACUGCAUUUGAAACUGGCAGGCUUGAGUCUCGUAGAGGGGGGUAGAAUUCCAGGUGUAGCGGUGAAAUGCGUAGAGAUCUGGAGGAAUACCGGUGGCGAAGGCGGCCCCCUGGACGAAGACUGACGCUCAGGUGCGAAAGCGU
rnacentral:rRNA from 1 species